AUACUUACCUGGCAGGGGAAAUACCAUGAUCACGAAGUUGGUUUCCCCAAGGCUAGGCUCACCCACUGUACUCCGGGUAUGCUGACCCCUGCAUUGUCCCCAAAUGUGGGAAACUCGACUCCAUAAUUUGUGAUAGUGGGGGACUGCGUUCGCGCUUUCCCCUA